rnacentral:piRNA from 1 species
GGUCUUUGUUGGGCUUUGCUGACA